UUUUUGGAGAGUUUGAUCCUGGCUCAGGACGAACGCUGGCGGCGUGCCUAACACAUGCAAGUCGAACGGAGAAUUUCAAUAAGUUUACUUAGAGAAAUUCUUAGUGGCGGACGGGUGAGUAACGCGUGGGUAACCUACCCAUAAAGCCGGGACAACCCUUGGAAACGAGGGCUAAUACCGGAUAAUCUUAGAUGUUGGCAUCAACGUUUAAGGAAAGGUGGCCUCUGA
rnacentral:rRNA from 1 species